UUUAACGAUGAAGAGUUUGAUCCUGGCUCAGGAUGAACGCUAGCGGCAGGCCUAACACAUGCAAGUCGAACGGUAACAGGAAAGAGCUUGCUUUUUUGCUGACGAGUGGCGCACGGGUGCGUAACGCGUAUAUAAUCUACCUUUUACAGGGGGAUAGCCUUU
rnacentral:rRNA from 1 species